rnacentral:lncRNA from 1 species
ACGAUAACUUAUUCAUUUUUGUCCAUAAAAAAUGUUCACCUUAUCACCAUCGGUAGCUCUAUAAAUGGAUUCUCCCAUCUUCCGCUUAUUCACACAACUGAACUGAACAGAACAAAGAAGAGAAUAACCUUAAUCUGAACAGAAAUGGCGAGUGCAACGCUUAUUGCUCUCUUCCUUCUUUCAGCCCUAACUUUCUACGCUCCUUCAAACACCGCUCAAUUUGUCAAGGACUCGAGUGGUAACAUCGUUAAAAAUAGUGGCAGAUUCUAUAUAUUGCCGUCACUAUUAGGAAACUACAGAGGUGGAAUUCGAAACCUUCGAACAGGUAACGAAUCUAUCCCUCUCUCUGUUGUGCAGUCUCCCUUCCAGGACGAUAAAGGGCUUCCAGUUACCAUUAGCUUCGAAUAUAUCCCUGUAGGUGUAGCACUAGUGUCCCUUAGCUUCGAAUAUACUCCUGAAGGAACCCCUCUUGAGUGGACCGCCGUUGAGGGUUUUCCUGAAGGAACCCUCGUUAAAAUUGGUGGUUAUUACCCAAAGCCAAUCAUCGGUUCUUUCUAUAUGAGAGAUUCUAUAUUUGGAACGAAGGACUCCUAUAAUCUUUUGUUCUGCAGAAGCCUCCCGGCUUGCAGUAAUGUUACUAUUGUUAAGAGCGAUGGGAACUUGGUUUUGGCUGUCACUCAGGAGAAUCCAUACGAGUUUUAUCUUGAGACAUAUCUGCCAACAUCUGCUGAUGCAUGAAAAGUCGCGCACUUUCUUCUUGUGAUAGCCGGUGAUACUAUAUGCUUUGGGUGUAAUAAACCAAUGCAUGCUAAAUAANAUAACCGGUAUUUGGUUUUUCUAACGUUCAUAUUUGUACCUGUGCUACUAUAUGCUUUGGGUGUAAUAAACCAAUGCAUGCUAAAUAAAAUAAGCGGUAUUUGGAUUUCCUAUCGUUCAUAUUUCUAGGACCACCAUAGACAAUUUUAUCCUUUUGCUCUAAAGCCAUUGCUUUGGUUUAUCUCUUUCUUUCCAUCAAGAAAAAAAAGUGUCUAAAAUGAAAAAGGAUAUGUUUAUUCAAACUUCUCUUCAUAUACAUUAAAACUUUAAAAAAUAUAUCUUCACACAAUUAUUAAAUCUAUUAUAAAUUUUUUAAUACAAUAUUAAUUUAUAAAGUUGUAACAUUAUGUAUGUAUGUAUUAGUGCAAAAACGCUAUUUAACGUCACCCUUUAGACGUCGGUUAAGGGUAAGCACGACAUAUAUUGAUGAUCGGUGGUAUUUUUGUAAAUAAGUUGGCCAUAUAAACAUCAGUUAGAAGGUGCCCAGACGUUUAUAAUAUUUUAGACGUCGGGGCCCCUCCUAACUGACGUCUAUAUGUCUGACAGGUGAGUGAAAAGUCAUUUUUUUCAGUCAUAUAGACGUUAGUUAGGAGAGGUCCUGACGUCUAUAUGGCGGAAAUUAAUGGUUAUUCAUCUACCUGUCAGACAUAUAGACAUCAAUUGGGAGAGCCCCGACGUCUAAAAUAUUAUAGAUGUCUGUUAUUCUGGAACCGACGUCUAAACCCUAAAUCCAAAAAUUUAAAAAGUCACUUUUUUGACUCCAUUUAGACGUUUGAUCUCGCCACUCCAACUUCUAAAGCACUUUAGACGUCUGUUAUUCUAGGAACCGACAUCUAAACCCUAAAUCCAAAAGUUUAAAAUGUCACUUUUUGACUCCAUUUAGAAGUCUGAUCCCGCCACUCCGACUUCUAAAGCACUUUAGACGUCUGUUAUUCUGGGAACCGACGUCUAAACCCUAAAUCCAGAAAUUUAAAAAGUCACUUUUUGACUCCAUUUAGACGUCUGAUCCCGCCACUCCGACUUCUAAAGCACUUUAGACGUCUGUUAUUCUGGGAACCGACGUCUAAACCCUAAAUCCAGAAAUUAAAAAAGUCACUUUUUGACUCCAUUUAGACGUCUGAUCCCGCCACUCCGACUUCUAAAGCACUUUAGACGUCUGUUAUUCUAGGAACCGACAUCUAAACCCUAAAUCCAAAAAUUUAAAAUGUCACUUUUUGACUCCAUUUAGACGUCUGAUCCCGUCACUCCGACUUCUAAAGCACUUUAGAGGUCUGUUAUUUUGGGAACCGACGUCUAAACCCUAAAUCCAGAAAUUUAAAAAGUCACUUUUUCACUCCAUUUAGACGUCUGAUCCCGUAACUCCGACUUCUAAAGCCCUUUAGACGUCCGUUAUAGGGGAACCGACUUCUAAAUGUCGGCAUUAAAACACCGUGAUCGCGAGACCGCCAUUAUGAGCACUCAUUGCUCCUCAUCUUCGUCGCGUUUUCUCUCUACAGGUUACGCUUUUCAGGUUUGUUUUCUCGUUUUUGCACCGUUUUAAAUUAGUUUUACUCUGAUUACAUCACUCUUUCACUAGUACAAAACGGGCUUUUUAAGUCUGUUAUUUCGGGCUUUUUAAGUCUGUUUUACAACAGACUUUGAUUCGGCAGACGUAAAUUUUAAGUUUGUUGUUGACCAACAGACUUAAAUUUUAAGUUUGUUAUUGACCAACAGACUUAAAGUUUAAGUCUGUUGUUGACCAACAGACUUAGAUCUUCAUACAAUUAUAAAUAAAAAUGGCACCAAAUUUAAGUCUGUUGUGAACAUAACAGACUUAAAUUUAAUAUAUAUAUAUAUAUAUAUAUAUAUAUAUAUAUAUAUAUAUAUAUAUAUAUAUAUAUAUAUAUAUAUAUAUAUAUAUAUAUCAGAAUAUAUAUUGAAAUUAAAUGUCAAUCUUGGAAUUAAAUGUAGGAAAUUAAGUUAAAGAGAAGGUAAUAGAAUUAUCAAAGAGUAAUAUUACAUUUUCACACAACAAUGCAAGCAUUAUAUGACACUAACCCUCAGAUUUUUAAGAUGAAUAUCAAAAUGAUAUGAGACCAAGCCUUUGCACUUUAACAACAACCUCUUGCCCAUUUAAUCUUGCACGAUGAACCUGUCCUGCAACAGGGAAAAAGAUAUUCAAAUUUCUUUCUUCUCAUCAAAUAUUAAACCUAAAACCAAGGUACAUUUAAUAUGGUUUCCUGAACCCAAGAAAUCAGGUAACUUAGGCUUUUAGUAAAUGCAGAAGUUAAUACAUUUCAUACUUCUCAAUUUAACGUCAAACAACAUCAAUUGUUGUCAAACUAAAUAGAUAAGAGUUACACCUAUAUCUAAAGAAUACAAUAAUAACAACACAUGAUUGCUUAAUAUAGGCAAACAAAUAAAAUAAAUAAAUAAAUUUUAGAUUAAUACCUUCAACCAUAAACAUCCUUAUAGGGGUUCAUAAGUAAUGAACAAAUUUUCAAAGAACUUUAGCAGUAAAAUGCACACAGACUGAAAUUGAUUCAUCAAUAUCCAUAUCACGACCAUAAAAUAAAAUCAAAUACGUCCAAUAACAUUAUAUAUAUAUAUAUAUAUAUAUAUCCAUGUACCAACAACAUUAUUGUAGCAUCAAUAAAACUCAUUCAACUGCAGAUUUAUUAUUUUGUAAAAAAGUUAACAGUUUAACUUAUUUUAAGCAAUGUUAACCUUAUUCUCUUCUUAAAGUAAUUUUAAAUUAUUCAUUCAGACAUUUCUUAGGGCCUCCUACAGUAUAAUAUGGAUUGUAUUUAUUAAGAGUGAGAACAAAUCAGGCCUAGUAAAAACAUGCUAGACUAAUCUCUUAUUCACUUAAUCUCUUAAUGGAAUUGGUAGUUCAGAUUCUUAUUAAUUAAUCUAGCAUCUAUUCGAUUAUAUUCUUAAUGCACGUAAGAUGGUUAAUCAAAAUCAAUGAGUGAAACCAAGUGGUAUAGCUCAUCUGAUGCAAGAAAAUAUGACCUUAUGGAGAAAAUUGAUAUGUAAGGAAUUGCAACAGUUAUUCCACCAUCACUUAAUGAAUACCGUGAGAAAAGAACCCCAUAUAACAUCCUAAUAGCUUAGAGAACGAGUAUCACAUCUUAUAUUUGACAAAGAAGCUUUUCCAUUCAUUCAAAACACAAAUCAACAAUAUAUAUCAAGUUAUAUUACUCGGCCAACCCCUAGCUACCCUUUUUCAUUCAAACAGAGUCCAAAUCCCCCUUAAACAUAUAUCCCCAAAAGCUACUCCAUUACAGUCUCAAGGUUUAACUCUUUAUAUCAUAUUAUAGCACACACAACAUUCAUGACCAGACAACCCACACAUAACCAGAGCAUUUAUAGUCAGCUUAUAUUAACUAUACAUAUAGACGAACAUAUUAAGUCAUUGGUCACAUUACAAAGCCACAUUUACAUGCCCGAAAUAUAUUAACAGCGUUAAUAAGCUACAUUAGUCAAGUUAAGCUAGAUGAAUUAAGUUAAGUGAGUUAAAUUCUAUUCACACAACCAGCAGCUACCAUUCCUAACUCAUACAGCCAUAUAGAUUUCUAUGUUUAUGCACAACCAGUUAAGUUAUUUCACAGUAAAUUAUGUCUUACAAAUUAUAAUGCAUCCAAAAUUCAUGUUGCAGCACAUAACACUCGAGAGAUCUAAUCUCUGUUUAUAUCACCAAUUCCUAAUUUGUGCAAGCAAAAUGUUUUGUCAGACAUAGAUUGUGCACUGAACUAGUCUGCAAACAAUCUCAGUAACUUCAUUCAACACAAACAUUCUUUUUAGCCCGCAUAGAUGCAUUUAAACCUCAUCACGGUAAAGCAAAAUUCUCUGAAUAUAAUAGUUCCUUCAUUUUCUAGAAGUAAAUUACCAAUUUCAUUAAACAGCAAGCUCACACCAUUCGGACACUCUAACUUACCCCUAUCUUAGCUUGACUUCUGCGAAAGUAUAAAAUACGAUUUACAAUACCAUUUUCGGUCCAACUACGAAUACGCCAAUGACCAAACAUAAGAAUGAACAAGACAAUAAACACAAUUGUAUGUCACUGAGAAAAGGCAUGCUUCAAAUUCAUAAUAAAAACAACAUAAUGGGAAGUUUUUUCCUGAUUAACACAACCUACUGCAGAAACACAACCCAACCACGUUCAGACAUUUAAACCCAUUUUUCCUUAUCACUUUUCUCUUUUAUUUGAACUCAAACAGAGCAUUGUUCUAGAACAACCUAAAAAAACGAAACAAGAAUCAAACAACAAACACCAAUUUCAUAGAUAACCACCAACUUCACAGAUAAUUGCAUCUAAACAAAAUAAAAUGAACUAGUUCCCCAUACUUGGAGCUUAGUUUGUCUUCUCCAGAAACACACCUCCACCAAACCCCGUAACUUCACAUGUUCCGUACUUGAACUGCAACGCUUUCCAGCUUGCAUUCUCUCUUCUUCUCACUCUUAAGCUUUCUAGAUCCUUACUUUUUGUGCCUCCACUAUUCUCCCACGGAAGCGAACACAUUGAAUUGGAGCUUGAAGUGGUCGCCAGCUCGAACGGCGGCGGAGUCGAGCGCCUGAAGCGUGCCCUAUGAGACCUUGAAGCUGCUAUCCUUCAAGAGAUUGAGGCAUCAUUUGACGAGCAAAGUGACUUAGGUAGAACUGAGCCUCCUCUUACAAGCUUCGAGAACCUCGGGGAGGCGCUCCACGCCAACCAUCCUCUCUCCUUCGCGUCCUUGGCGUGUGGGAUUUCAAGGGCUUCCUCAAUCGCGCAGACCGUUCGAAUCUAGCGCAAGAGGGAGGUUGAGGAGGUUAUGGUGUUUACGAUUCUUUAUUUGGGAUGAAGUUUUAGGGUUUUGGUUCGGGGGAAGAGGAAGAUUUGGUGAGUGUAAAAUAUUAGAGGAAACUGAAAAAUGUUGAGGGAAAGAAAAUAAGUUAGAUAAAUUAAGUCAGUUAAAUAAAAAAAGAGACGUAAAGAUAACACAUUUUUAAGUCUGUCAGAAAAUUAAUAGAUGUAAAAAUAUUAAUUUAAGUCUGUUAAAAAAGUAACAGAGGUAAAAAUACUAAUUUAAGUCUGUUAAAAGAAUAAUAGAUGUAAAAAUAUCAUUUUUAUUUACAAAACUACCACCGCACAUUUUUUAAGUCUAUUUUUCUCUAAACAGACUUAAAUUCGCAGACUUAAUAAGUAUAUUUUGUACUAGUGUUUGAUUCAUUAUCUUUCAUUUGAAUCGAUUAAAAUGCGUUUGCGUUGGGUUUUGGUGUAGCUAUUCUCGUGCGCUUACGCGCACUCAUUGUUCAUCAUCUUUGUCACGUUUUCUCUCUACGGGUUACAUUUUUCAGGUUCGUUUUCUCACUUUUGCACCGUUUUAAAUUAGUUUUACACUGAUUACAUCACUCUUUGAUGCAUUAUCUUUCAUUUGAACCGAUUAAAAUGCGUUUUCGUUGGGUUUUGGUGCAAUUAUUCUUGUGUCCUUGGGUGGCGUUCUUUGGCGACGAUUUCUUGUGUUUUGCACUCUCCAAUUCCCUCCACUACAUUUUUAAAACCAUCCAAUAAAAAAAUAUACAAUAUAUUCUCUUCAACAAAAAUAUAAAGUUGUAAACUCGAAUCACCAUUAGUCAGGAGCAACCUUAGAGACGUCUGACCUGUAUGGAUUGGACGUCUAUAUAGACGUCUGACCUAUAUAGGUCCGAUGUGACGUCUAUAGAGACGUCUGACCUAAAGGGUCUGACAUCUCAUUAACGUCACCGUAUAGACCUCGGACAGAGAUCAGACGUUAAAAGCCCAAAAUAACAUACAUCUAAAAUCCUUUCUGCACUAGUGAUUUAUGUAUAUAUAUAUAUAUAUAUAUAUAUAUAUAUAUAUAUAUAUAUAUGUGUGUGUGUGUGUGUGUGUGUGUAUACAUAUGUGUAUAUAUACAUCUAAAAUCCUUUCUGCACUAGUGAUUUAUGUAUAUAUAUACAUAAAUCACUAGUGCAGAAAGGAUUUUAGAUGUAUAUAUACACAUAUGUACAUACAUAUAUACACAUAUGUUUACAUAUUGUCAACACCCAAUUUCAUCCGGGUGACAAAAAUAUAUUAUUUUUUAUUUUAUAUUAUGUCUUUUUAACAAUUUUAUUUUUGUUAUAUUAUCUAAUUUUUAUUUUUACUUAUUUUAUUUUAUUUAUUUAUCUUUUUAUUUAUUUAUCUUUUUUUUCAUUUUUAUAUUAGUUUUUAUAUUUUAAUUCUAUUUUUACUUUUUAUUUUAUUUUACUUUUUGUUAUUUAGAGUUAUUUCGUUUUAUUUUACGUUAGUUUCUUUUAUUGUUUAGUUUUAUUUUUGUUUUUUGGUUUUUUUUUUUUACCUUAAACGUUAACAAAGAAAUUCCAAGGAAAAAGAAAAUAAAAAAGGUAUGGCAGACUGUUGCUUUCUUUCCAUUCUCAGUCGCACAAACAUGAAUUAAGCUUUCCUGCAACACAAGACUAAACCUCCUGCAACACACAACAACAGACGCCUCCACAAGCCAUCAAACUUUCGUUUUCUGGAAAGAAUCCCUGUGCACCCUGGUUUCUGUCACCAAUUAUGAAUUAAAGAAGAAUGGCGUUUGACAGUGGUUUUACCAGGUGGCUUCUGAUUCUCAGUCUAUGCUUAGUAGAUGGAUGGCAGCGUAGCAGGGGCUUGACCUUUGGCCUGUGAAAAGGAAAGAGAACUCUCAAUUCUAGGGACUCCACAAAGAACUUCUUAGCGAUUCCCCCAUGAGACAAAACCCAUCAUAACCUGAACCACAUUUUCCUUUCAUUCCCAAUUCUUCACCUUCACCAUCACGUUAAUCAAAACCCGACCACCAGCUCUGGGGGCCCUCGCCCAUUUCCGAUCAUCAUCUUCAACUACAUUCACUUACAGCAAGGAGAAGAUGCAUAACUAGCAACAAAAACUAACAAUAAGAAAGGAAGCUCCGAGAGCCAGAGAGCAUUUAAUUCAACAUUUCACCAUCACCUAUCAUCACAGUCACCGGUCAUCACAGCUUGGGAGGAGGAGGCCUCACGGCCAAAGAGAGGGAGAAUCAUUUGCUUUCAGCGUGGCUUUCCAGCACCUGCAAGAAUAUCUUAGCAAUCCAAGGUCUAAGGGAGCCAGAGAGAGUGGAACCAAAAGGAAAGGUUUGAAGCUGUGGAGGUAAGUCUUAUACAUAAGCUCUUUGGCCAUGCCCAUCUAAUGCUCAUGAUUGUGCUUUCCUUAUAUGUGCUGGGAAGUGAACGAAUGAUAUUUGAUUAGUGUAGAUAGUUGUGUUCGCUUGCUUUGUAAUAUCUCUGUUAACCAAAACUGCAUCCAAAACAUAGUUUCAAUGCCAACAAAAUUCAUUAGAUAUAAAUGACAAUAGGAAAUAGAUGUAUAUUCCCCAAGCAUCGGAUUUCAAUAUCAUUUGCUUACACCUAGAAAACAUGCCUUGCCACAAACCUGUAAACAGAUACAAAAACCCCUCAAUCUUCGCCUAUACCAUGAAAACCCCUCUGACCAUCUUCCUGCAAGAGAAACAUCUAAGCAGAUACAUCAUCACCCACUCAUAAUCUCAGUUUCAUUCUGGAAAUAUCAAUAACCCCAAAGUCACUUCCCUGCUCGCAAGCGAAGGUGAAAGGUAGUAGCGUGGUGGUCGGCGACCACCUUGGUGACGACAGGGAACACUGGUGGUUCUCUGACGACAGCGGCUUUUGAAUUCGAAUAGGAGGAGAGAGGGUUCGUGCGACGCUUUUGGCGAAAGUCGCAGUCGCUGGCGAUGAUGCGAGACGAAACCUCGACGGCGGCGACCGGUUGCGGCUGGUCUCGCCCGUGACCGAGAGCGCGUCCAGGAAGUUUUUCUGUUUCUCGUACACGAGAGGAGAGAAGGAGAAGGUGGGGGCUCUGGCGGUAGACGUCGUCGCUUGCGAUGCUAGGGGCCGCGGUUCGCGGCUGCGGGUUGGGUGGAGGUGAGGACGACGUGGUUGCCAACUUUUGAGUGCUUCGGGUUUCGGUUGUUUUCUGCAGAGAGGAAGAGACUCUAGGUCUCGUGAACUUUGAACAAAUGAUGGGAAUGAAGGGAGAAGGCUGAACCCCUAGAAAGUUUCUAGGUUAGAAGAGAAUUGGGCUUGGGUUGUUGGUUUUUUUUGUUAAUGAAAAAUAAAGAAAAACACUUUGUUACAGUUCGACUUCCCAUACACGUACCCCCAUUUCUCACAUUUGCACCCCUACGUCCAUUCCCUGCUUUGGGCUCAGGCCCAUUAUGAUUCUCCCUGAAAAAGAAAAAAAAUAACAAAACCAUUUUCCUUCCUACACCCCUAUUUCUGCUAAACAUCACACCACCAUCCAAUUUGGGCUUAAGUCCAGUUUGUUUAUAAUAAUAGUUUUUACGCCCCCUUUCUCCUAGUUAAGCACCUCCACACCUUUACUUGUUAUUUUGUUUUUUUUUUAUUAUUUAACUUUUUAGUUUAUUUUAUUUCUACUUUUUAUUUUUCAUCCCUAUUUUUCUAUUUCUUAUUUUCAUUUUGAUAGUUAUCUAUUUAUUUUAUUUCAUCUACUUUUAAAUAAAUAUUAAAAACAACAAAAUAUUUUUAAAGGUUUAAGCACGUGUGUGAUCGCACGCAUCGUCCUCGUGCUAAGACCUUUUCUUCUUUUUAUAAAAAUCAACAAAAAUGUUUUUAAAGGUUUAAGCACGUGUGUGAUUGCACGCAUCAUCCUCGUGCUAAGACCUUUUCUUCUUUUCAUAAAAAUAAUAAAAAUUGUUUUAAGCGUUUAAGCACAUGUGUGAUCGCACGCAUCGUCCUUGUGCUAGAAAACCUUUUCCCUUUCUUAUAUAAAAAAUGCCAAAAACAAAAAGCAUUUUCAUUUCCAAAUAACAGUCAACCUUUCAACCAGAACUACGUUAUCCUUGAUUCUCCAUCAAAAGUGGAGAUACGUAGGAGCAAGGCUAGUCCUUGUCAGGCUCACUUUCCCAAAAAUCUAAAUUGUCCAAACAAACUUUCCAAAUAAUUCUCCAAACAAAUUUUCCAAAUGGUUUCCCAAAGAACUACGUAACCCUGAUUUCUCAGUCCAACUGAGAAUACGUAGGAGCAAGGUCAAUCCUUGUCGGGCACAGAAAACACAAAAAAAUAUUUUGUUUUCUUUAGAGUUUUAUUUUUUAGGGGAAAUUAAACAUUUUGCAAACCACAUUAAAUUCGUGUAUUUAGUUAAAAGUACUGCCUUAGGGCAGGCGUUGUGGGGGUGCUAACACCUUCCCCACACGUAACCGACUCCCGAACCCAAUCUUUGGUUUUCGUGGACCGUGCUUUAUCAUUUUAUGGUUUUUCCGUAGUUUUCCAGAAUAAACUAUGGUGGCGACUCCAAACUCUUUUUCUAAAUUCGUUUUCUUUUUUGGACGGUCGUCCUGUCGCGAUUUUCCGGUUGCGACACAUAUGUAUAUACAUAUACAUAUAUAUAUACAUAUAUAUAUAUAUAUAUAUNNNNNNNNNNNNNNNNNNNNNNNNNNNNNNNNNNNNNNNNNNNNNNNNNNNNNNNNNNNNNNNNNNNNNNNNNNNNNNNNNNNNNNNNNNNNNNNNNNNNNNNNNNNNNNNNNNNNNNNNNNNNNNNNNNNNNNNNNNNNNNNNNNNNNNNNNNNNNNNNNNNNNNNNNNNNNNNNNNNNNNNNNNNNNNNNNNNNNNNNNNNNNNNNNNNNNNNNNNNNNNNNNNNNNNNNNNNNNNNNNNNNNNNNNNNNNNNNNNNNNNNNNNNNNNNNNNNNNNNNNNNNNNNNNNNNNNNNNNNNNGUUUAUAUAAAAUUUAUAUAAUAUAGAAGUCCGCAUCUUAAUAUAAUAGAAUAGUUAGAAGUAGACUUGCACUUAAAGUGUUAAGAUUACAAUCAUUCAAAAGAGACCAUAAUCUAAAACUUUAACGAUAAUAUAGUAUUUUAAAAUGAUACAACUUAUUUAAGAAAUUCUAAACAAACUAAGUUGCAUCAUCAUCACCAUCGAGGGCCUGCUCCAGGGGUAUCUGUUAACACCCUGGCAAGUGUACCAGAUCGUAUCAAGUAAUAAUAGAACAGUAAGUCCAGAUAUCGCUUCCCAAAGGACUCUUAGGCCUUAUCGUUCAUGUGAAUUAAUCGCAUAUGACUAGAAAGAUUAAUAAUUUGAGAUUGUAAUGCAAAGACAAAAUUAAACAUGCAAAUGCAAAAGUUGAAUCAAUUGACAGAUAAGAAUAUGAAUGAAUGGAGUUGUUGGGGUUUAUAAUUUCAUCCUGAUCCACCCUCCUAUAUCUAUUAUUCCUAUUAUAUUCCACUUUAUUAUCAAUGUUCAUGCAACUUUCAAAUUACUCUAAACCCGAUCCCUUGGCGAAAAGAGCCUAUUAUCAUAAUUACUAGUUUACUAUUCUGAUGACUUAGGCCCAAGCCCACCAAAUAAUCAAAGUCCAAAUACUAGAAGAAUAAGGUUGCUGAGUGCACCCCCAUGGUGAUAGUGGCAGCAAAGUCCAAGAAAUAGAAGACUAAGGGUGCUUAGCGCACCCCCCAUUGUGCUAAAUCCAUCCAUGGCAGAUUUCCAUCACUUUUCAACACAUUCCGUGCAGAUUCUAGAUUUCCACACACAUGUUUCUUGCUUUGCCAUGUGGGUCAUGAUCCACCAUAUUCAAACUUCAUCCACACCGUGUACAACUAGUUGGAUAUUCUAUAAAUCCAACUUAGAUCACUUGUAAGAACAGUUUUGGAUUUAUGAAAGAUUAUUUUCUGCUAUUGAAUCUCCAGCAAACAACACUCUGUUCGAAAGUCAUACUACCUUGAGCUUUUCCCUCACCACCUAGUUCCUUCCAACUACGGAAGCCGUCUGAACUAGAUUUCACCGCCACCGAGAGCUCCCCUGCACCACAUUCUUCCACUAAACUUCAUUCUCCGCUGCUAUCAAACUCUACAAAAACAUUCGCUGCUUGUUUUCUCCUCCACCGACUGGAUCGAAGUCAUCAAAUUCCUAGUCUCCCUAGCAAUUACUAAUGCAUUAAUAAUAGAAGCUUAAAGCAAUUGACCAUCCUACUCCUAUCCCUAGGUAGUAUUGCAUAAUCAAGAGAAUUCUUCUCAGUUCUAGAUUUCCCUGUACGUUCCCAUAUCGACAAAAUCAAAGAUCAUGACAUUGAAUGAGUUAAACAAUGCAAGCUUUAAAGUACAGAGAAAAAAACUCAAACUAUUGAUAAUACAAGAAUAUGAAAUAAAUUGGAAUUUCAAUAUAAGAGAGUUUCACAAAGAUUACAUUGUUCCCCAAAACAAAGGGUUUAGUUCACCAUUGACAUGGUGAAACUAGAUGAAUUGAAUGAAAAGAAUGAAAAGAUAAACCCUAGAUUUGGUAGAUUGGAGCUCCCACAUCCAAAAUCCUCCUCCAAGGGGUGGAAAGAGUGUUUUGUCGUCUUUCUCUGCCAAAAAGAUUCCCCUAGAAUAGUUCUGAGGGUCAAUUUAUAAGCUAUGAAAAAUUACAGAAUUUUGGCCCAAGCCCAACUACAGCACUCAGCGCUGGAUGCACCACUUAGCGGUAGGUGCGACACUUCACUGGAUCGCUCAGUGUUGACGCCCAAGCCUCCUGCCGUAUUGAAUUAAAGUUCUCAGCGCUCAACGGUGGAUUCUGACGCUCAGCGGUGGCAAUGAUUCUUCAUUCUCCCCUCAGCGCUGACUCUUAAGCGUUUUGCCGUAUUGACUUUCACAAUGCUGACACUCAGUGCUGAAAUUGACGCUGAGCGGUGGGAGCAAUUCCUCUUUUGCACCUUUCUUCAUCCUUUCUUGAGUCCAACUCCUUCCUACUUCACUUUCCAUCCUUCAAUUCUCAUUAAAACCUGUCAAAACAAUGUAAAACCAAGCAUAAUAUCUCUAAAACCACCUUUGACUCUCUUGUAAUCUAACUUAAGUGUUUUGCAUGAUUUUAAGCCCAUUCUAAGUCAUAAAGGGUGUGUUUUGAUCUCAAUUUCACAUAUAAAAAUAACGGUUUUUAGACCGUUAUCACAACCCCAAACUUAGAACUUUGCUUGUCCUCAAGCAAACACAACAAAACUUACCUUUCCACCUAUCAUCAAAAUGGUUCACACAUUAAAAAAUCAUUCUUCCACAACAAGUAAUUACUCAAUUCAGCUUUUCAAUGGAGUCUCAUCAAGAUGCACACAUGCUUUAUUUCAUUCCAAUUCACAUAUUGUUCACAUAAUCACAUACUCUUCCACAGAUGUUAUCCUUAUGAAUGAUCAGUCAACUAAGCACAAAUGUAAUCAUGAAUUUCAGAAAUCCUUUCCAGGCAAAGUGUUUCACUCAAUCACUCAAGUGUUUCACUCAAUCACUCAAGUGUUUCAGGAGGUCACUCCUUCCCUCUACUAUCCACAUGUCACUUAAAACAAAAUUGCCUUUCAUCUAAUACAAUCAACAUUUUCACACAUACAUGCCAUCACAAGGACUUUUCAAGGCUUAUAAUGAGGCUAGGCUAACAAGAAAAAUUGGUUUUUCUGGAUCGCAAAAUCCUUGAGUUAAGAGAGUUAUUCAACAAGAUCCAUAGUUCAAGCACCAACUCUCUUUCAACCAAUCACACUCAUUCCCAAACUUUUCCCUUUUUCUUUUACUUUUGCAUUGAGUUUAUCUUUCAUGCUUUUCUUUUCUUUUCUUUUCUAUCUUUUUUCAUGCUUUUUCUUUCAACACAUUAUCUCAAUGCUUUUCUUUUGCCUUUCAAUUCUCCCAACAACCCCAAACUUAAACCUUUAUCAAUACCCUUCAAUUAUUCUCAACUCAACUCAAGGUAAAGAUUUUUCUCAAAAAGGUUUUCAAAGUAUUUCAGGCUAAGGUUCAAAAAGGGUAGAACACAUUGUUCUCUUUACUUUGAGUGAAAAUUUGGCUAAGGAAGGGCUUCUAAAAAUGGCAUUGAUCAUGUGACAUAAACAUGUAAUUCAAUCAAUCAUAAAGAUUCACGCAAAAUCAUUCAUGUUCUCAAAUGAAUAGCAAAUAUAUCAAUCAAAUACUCUGGAGCUUAAAACCUCACACAAUUAUGCUCUUUCAACAUAUCAAUCAUACACCCUACUUAGUAUCAUAACCACAACCAUAACUCAUCAUGCAUCUGUUCACACAACUUGUGAACAAUUCACCUGUAUAAAGGCAUGUAAAGCAGUCUCAAUCAUCAUCCACAUCAAGCAUCAUCAAGCACACUCAUUAUGCAAUAAAACAAGUCAAACCAUCAUCAGAUAAGGUGUUCAAGCAAGUACCAUAAAACCUACAAUACUCAACAGAAUUCAACCUAUUCUACAAGUUCAAAUUACAAAUGAAAAAGAAAAAUAAAACCUUGUUCCACUGCAACUGGCAUCCAUCAGUAGAUGCCAAAUCAACCCAUGUUAUCAUCAGAGUCAUCAUCAUUUCCAGCCUCUGCAUCCUCAAAGUCAUCAUCCUCCUCAUCAUCAUCCAUAACUGGAGCUUCAGCUUCAGCUGUUCCAGCUCCGCUACCCUGUGCCUGCUCCUAGGGCCACGCCAUAGCAUUAUGGAACUCAUCCAUAGUCCACCUGUGUGUAGGGGGUGUAUCAUACAACCCCACAAUCAUCUCUGUUGUGGCCACCUGCCCUCGACGAAUAGUCUCAAGUCUGGCCUCCAUCAUGGACAUAUACAUGUCCCUCAUCUGGAAUGGCUCUACAUGUUGUGCAGGUUCAUCAUCCUGUUGGGUUGCUCCUCUCCUGGGACGUCUCUGAGGCACUGGUCUAGCUUCCUCAUCUCCUUCAUAGAACUGCCUAUAAUAUGCUGCAUCUAUGGUCUUCCUAGGCCUCUCAAAUGGUGGAGUAGAAGUAUCUACCCCAGCCUGAUGACACAACUCUGUGAUCAAGGAAGGAUGACCAAGUGGUGCCUUGUUGCUCACAGUGGUUGCACAACUCUGAAUCUCAUUGGCGAUGACCUCACCGAUGUUCACAUUCAAGCCUCUCAGCAUGCAAUAAAUAAACAUAAUCCUGUGAAGUGUAAUAUCAGAAACAUGGGAGCAAGGUUGGACGUUAGCAUGAGUAAAUGUCAUCCAGUAUUUGGCCAGGGGUGUUAGGUCAGCUCUCUUGAUGUUGAUGGCUGCACCAUUUGGAUUCCUUUGAAAAUGCCCACCAGGCACACAAAGUGCUCUCUCAAUGUCUUCAAAAUCCAUGCACUCCCACACAUUCAGUGAAUACUGACAUUGCUCACCAACUCAUUCAGUGCCCAGAAAACUAUUAAUUGUUUCAAGGUCAUAACUAAUAGUCUUCCCCCGAACAUAACUUGUAUAUCUAUCCCUGUCAACCCCCAUUAACUUAGCACUUGUGUAGAAAUCUUUAACCAUUGCUAUAUUAGCAGGUGCAUGGUACGUUGCCAAUUUCUCCCAAUUUCUGCUCUCCAACUCCUCACCAAACUGUGGAGCCAAGUCUGGAAUGAAUGUUGCUUUCCUUUCCAUUAGGAGGUGUCUUUCUUGAACAGUCACAUGAUGUAGCUCAUGCCUCCUUGAUAGUAAUCUAUUAGAAUACAACCUCUCAGGUUCUUUCCUCUUGUUCCCUUGAGUCUUGAUUCUCUUUCGGGAUGAGGAUGUCAUUCCUACAUCAAAUACAAUUCACAAGACCAAAGAAUUCACCGUUAAGGGUUAGCAAACCAUCAAAUAAACAUCAUUGCAUCACUAUCCAGUGCUGAGGGCAAAACAGGGCCCCUCAGCGCCACCUGCAACUCAAAGUAUUAAAAAAAAAUCAAAUCUAUCAGGCCACCGCUCAGCGAUGGCGAUGACAGUUUUUCAAAAACUUGCCUAAAACCCCUCUAAUCUCCACCCAAUUUCAAAUUCCUCAGUUCCAUACCAAAAUCAUACAAUUCAAUUGGUGCAAAUCGUUUCUAUUUCAUCAAAUCAUGCAUAGAAAUCAAAAGCCCUAAUUUUUCAUGUUUUUACACAUGUUCUUCAUCAAAUCUCAAUUCUAGAAACCCUAAAAAUGAAAUUGCAUGACUUACUUGGUGAUAACGGUCUAAAAACUGUUAUUUUCAUGCUUAAAUUUGAUAUCAAAACACACCCUUUGUGGCUUAGAAUGAGCUUAGAAUCAAGUAAAAACACUUAGUUGAGUCAUAGGAGAGUCAAAAGCUGUUUUUAGAGAUAUUAUGCUUGUUUUGCAGGGUUUUGAUGGAAAUUGAAGAUGGAAGUGAAGUAGGAAGGUCUUAGACUCGAGAAAGAAGGAGAAAAAGGAAUAAAAGAAGAGUCUAAGCACCGCUCAAUGUCAAAAACCACCGUUGAGCGCCAGGAUUCGAGGGAGAGCCACUGUCUGGCGCCAGGAGGAGACGCUGAGCGUCCAGAGUAGUUAGAGGCAAACUGCUUAGCGGUGAGACUGAGCGGUGGCGCGGCAAGAGGCAAACUGCUGAGCGGUUAAAUUGGACGCUGAGCGGUUGUCUGCUGGGCUUGGGCUGAAAUUCUGUUACUUUUAUGCUCUAUAAAUAGCCCCAGUACGAUUCAAAUUGUAUUCUUUUGGCAGAAGAAGACAUCCAAAGUUGUUCUACACACCUUGGAGGAGGUUCCUUGGAUGCUUAGGCUCCAAUCUACCAAAUUUAGGGUUUAUUCUUCCAUUCUUUCAUUGUACUUCAUUUAGUUUCACCAUGUCUAUGGUGAACUAAACCCUUUGUUGUUGGGGAACAAUGUAAUCUUUUGAAACUCUCUUUUAUUGAAAUUCUUAUUAUAUUUAUAUGCUUGCAUAUGCUUAAAUUAUCAAUUGUUGGGUUUCUUAUCUAUGCUCAAGGCUUUUAUCGUUUAAUUUAUUCAAUAUAAAGAUGUUUGCCUUUGUCGAUACGGGAAUGUACGGGGAAGUCAUGAACUGAUAGGGAAUUCCUUGAUUAAGCAAUACCACCUAGGGAUAGGGGUAGGACGAUCAAUUGUAUUUUGCUUUCGUGAUACAUGCAUUGCUAAUUGCUAGGGGAGACUAGGGAUAGUAAGCCAGUAAUUUGUAGUAGGCUCUUCUCGCCGAGGAAGCGGGUUUAGGGUAGACUAAGAAAGUUUGCAUGACAAUUAGAUAAUAAAGCUAAUUAGUAAGAAGAGUAGAUUAAAGAGAGUGGAUAAGAUGAAAUUGUAAACCCCAACAACUCGAUUCAUCCAUAUCUUUUUCUUGCCAAUUGAAUCACUUGCAUUUGCAUGUUUGUUUUCGUUCUUUGAUUUAACCCACAAGAUUUAUUUCUCUUCAAGUCUUAUAAUAUCAACUUACAUGAAAGUUAAGGCCUAAGAGUCCUUUGGGAAAACGAUACUCAAACUUACCCGUUUUAUAUUACUUGAUAACGAUCUGGUACACUUGCCAGGGACUUAACAAGUUUUUGGCAUUGUUAAGUCCCUGGCAAGUGUACCAGAUUGUUAUCAAGUAAUAUAAAAAGGGUAAGUCUGAGUAUCAUUUUCCCAAAGGACUCUUAGGCCUUAACUUUCAUGUAAAUUGAUAUUAUGAGACUUGUAAAGAUAUAAAUCUUGUGGGUGAAUGCGAAAAAGAAAAUAAACAUGCAAAUGCAAGUGAUUCAAUUGGGAAGAAAAAGAUAUGGAUGAAUGGAGUUGUUGGGGUUUACAAUUUCAUCUUAUCCACUCUCUUUUAUCUACUCUUCUUAUUAAUUAGCUUUAUUAUCUAACUGUCAUGCAAACUUAGUCUACCCUAAACUCGAUUCCUAGUUGAGAAGAGCCUACUACUAAUUACUGGCUUACUAUUCCUAGUCUCCCCUAGCAAUUAGCAAUGCAUGUAUCACGAAAGCAAAAUACAAUUGAUCGUCCUACCCCUAUCCCUAGGUGGUACUGCUUAAUCAAGGAAUUCCCUAUCAGUUCAUGACUUCCCCGUACGUUCCCGUAUCGCUAAAGGCAAACAUCUUUAUAUCGAAUGAGUUAAACGAUAAAAGCUUUGAGCAUAAACAAGAAACCCAACAAUUGAUAAUUUAAGCAUAUGCAAGCAUAUAAAUAUAAUAAGAAUUCCAAUAAAAGAGAGUUUCAAAAGAUUACAUUGUUCCCAACAACAAAAGGUUUAGUUCACCAUAGACAUGGUGAAACUAGAUGAAAUACAAUGAAACAAUGGAAGAAUAAACCCUAAAUUUGAUAGAUUUGAGCCUAAGCAUCCAAGGAAUCUCCUCCAAGGUGUGUAAAACAGCUCUGGACGUCUUCUUCUACCAAAAGAAUAUGAUUUGAAUCGCACUGGGGCUAUUUAUAGAGCACAAAUGUAACAGAAGUUAAGCCCAAGCCCAGCAGACAACCGCUCAACGUCACAUUUUACCGCUCAGCAGUUUCCCUCCAGCCGUGCCACCGCUCAGCGGUCAGUCUCACUGCUGAGCGGUUUGCCUCCAACCGCUGUGGAUGCUCAGUGUCAUCUCCUAGCGCCAGACAGUGGCUCUCCCUCAAAUCCUGGCACUCAGCGGUGGCUUUUGACGCUGAGCGGUGCAUAGACUCUUCUUUUCUUCCUUUUUCUCCUUCUUUCUUGAGUCGAAGACCUUCCUACUUCACUUCCAUCUUCAAUUUCCAUCAAAACCCUGCAAAACAAUGCAAAACAAGCAUAAUAUCUCUAAAAACAGCUUUUGACUCUCCUAUGACUCAACUAAGUGUUUUUACUUGAUUCUAAGCUCAUUCUAAGCCACAAAGGGUGUCUUUUGAUAUCAAAUUUAUACAUGAAAAUAACGGUUUUUAGACUGUUAUCACAACCGCAAACUUAGAACUUUGCUUGUCCUCAAGAAAACAAGACAAAACUUGGCUUUCCACUUUUUCAUCAAAUAGUUCAACAUUUUCAGAAUUCAUUUUCUUCAUGACAAGAACUACUCAAUCUAGAUUUUCAGUAGAAUCCUAUCAAGAUGCAUGCAUGCUUUCAAUCCAAUUCAAUUCACAUGAUCACAUAUUUCCCAACAGAUGUUAUACUUUAUGAAUGAUCAAUCAACUAAGCAUAAAUGUACACAUGAAAUUUAUCAAUUCUCACCAAGCAAUUGUUUCACUCAAUCACUCAAGUAUUUAAGAGGAUACUCCAACUCUCUAUUAUUCACAUAUCACAUGAAACAAAAUUUCCCUUCAUCUAAUACAAUCAACAUUCUCACAUGCAAAUGUCAUCACAAGGACUUUUCCAAGGCUAGGCUAACAAGAAAAGUUGGUUUUUCUAGAUCACAAAAUCCUUGAGUUAAGAGAGCUAUUUUAACAUUCAAAGUUCCAGCACAAACUCUCUUUCAACCAAUCUCACUCAUUCCCAACUUCUCCCCUUUUCUUUCAUUUUUACAUGGAGCUCAUCUUUCAUGCUUUUUCUUUUCUUCUUUUUCUUUUCUCAUGCAUUUUCUCCUUUAACACUUGAGCUCAAUGCCUUUCCUUUGCUUUUCAAUAUUCCCUCAACAACCCCAAACUUGAACUUUUUCAAUACAUAUAUAGUUAUUCUCAACCCAACUCAAGGUAAAUAAUUUCAAAACAAGGGUUUUCAUUCUGUUUAAGGCCAAGGUUCAAAAAGGGUAGAACACAUGGUUCUAAUCAUUUUGGGCAAAAAUUUGGCUAAGUAAGGGCUUCCAAACAUGGCCUUGAUCAUAUGUCAUAAACAUGGAAUUCAAUCAAUCAUACAAACUUAGGCAAUAUCAUUCAUGUUUCCCUGUGAACAGUACAUAUAUCAGUGAAUACUUUGGAGCUCAAUACCUCACACAACAUGCUUUCUCACACAUCAUUCAUUCAUACAUCCUGCUUAGCAUCAUAACCACAAUCAUAAAUCAUCACACAUCUGUUCACAUAAGCUAGUGAACCAUUCACCUGGAUAUCAACAUGCAACACAUUCUCAAUCAUCAUCCACAUCCAAUCAUCAUCAAAUAGACUCAUCAUGCAUUUCAUUCAGUCAAGCCAUCAUCAGAAUUAGUGUACAAGCCAAGCAUAGACACAUAAAAUAAAAUUCAACCUAUUCUAAAAAAAAUCAAAAUACAAAAGUGAAAGAAAAAUCCCUGUGCUAAGCUUUGGCAUCCAUCAGUAGAUGCCCUCUUAGUCCAUAUCCUCAUCUGAGUCAUCCUCAUCACCAGCCACUACAUCCUCAAAGUCAUCCUCCUGGUCAUCCUCAUCUCCGCCUGGUGUUCCAGCUGCUCGAGACCCGCUACCAUGUACCUGCUCCUAAGGCCAAGCCAUAGCACUAUGGAACUCGUCCAUAGUCCACCUGUGCACUGGUGGCUGAUCAUAUAGCCCCACUAUCAUCUCGGCAGUAGCUAUCUGCCCUCUGCGCAAAGACUCCAUCCUGACCUCCAUCAUGGACAUGUACAUGUCCCUCAUCUGGAACGGCUUGGUGUGUUGUGCCGGUGCAUCUGCAGGUCCAUCCUCCUGCUAUGCUGCUGCUCUCCUAGGACGUCUCCUAGGUGAUGCUCUGGCUGCCUACUCCUCUGCACGAUACUAUUGAUAGUAAGAAGCAUCUAUGGCCUUCCGAGGCCUCUCAUAUGGUGGAACUACAGUAUCCACCCUAGCCUGCUAGCACAAGAAGGUAAUAAGGGACGGAUGUCCCAACGGUGUCCUACAACUCACAGUAGUAACGCAGCUCUGAAUAUCAUCAGCAAUAACCUUCCCAACAUUCCAAUCCAACUGCCUCAGCAUGCAGUAGAUGAAGAUGAUCCUGUGCAUGGUGAUGUCGGAAACAUGGGAGCACGACUGAAUGUUGGCAUGAGUGAAUGCCAUCCAGUAUCUCGCCAGAGGCGUCAAGUCUGCCCUUUUGAUGUUGUCAGGUACUCCAUUAGGGUUGUUCUAAAAAUGCCUUCCAGGAAGGCACAUAAUCCUCUCAAUAUCUCCAAUGUCCCUGUACCCACAUACACAGGCUGCAUAUUGGCACUGCUCACCUGGCCACUCAGUGUCGAAGAAACUAUUGAUGGUGUCAGGGUUAUACCAGAUAAUCCGUCCCCUGACAUAGCUCAUGUAUCUCCCAGUCAAAACUCCUCCUCUGGUCAAGGCAUUCGUAUAGAAUUCCUUCACCAGUUCAAUGCUGGCUAGUGCGGGAUAUGUGGCCAACCUCUCCCAGUCUCUCCUCAUAAUCUCUGCUCCAAAUUCAGGAGCUAAGUCUGGGAUGAAAGUGGCCUUCCUUUCCAUCGGCAGUCUUCUCUCUUGCAUCGUCACAUGGUGCUCUUCAUGCUUCCUAGAGAGGAACCUAGGAGAAUAAAAUCUUUGUGGCCUCUCAGGUUCCUUCCUCUUGUUGCCAAGAGUUUUCACCCUUCUAGAUGAUGAUGUCAUUCUUGAGUGGAGAUACUAGAUGGUUGCAAAAUUCCUUUCCAACUGAUGAUGAAUGCUCCCGAUGCAAAGCUCUCACCAAAAACCCCCCAAUGGAAUGUUCAAAAAGUAAGGUUUUUGUGAGUGGGUGAUGGCAAAAAGUGGGAAAAACUCUUUGAAAAACCUUUGAAAGUGAAAGAGAAGUGUUAAGGCUUAUGGAGACCGCUUGGGCGAAAUGUAAAGAAGAGAUUUCAAGUGUAGAAAACCCCAAAAUGCUCAGCUUUUAAAAAGCCCGAGCCAGGUUUACGCCACCACCGCUCAGCGGUCAAAUGCACCGCUCAACGGUGGACAGUAAAUUUUGUUUUCCUCUUCUUUGCUUGCCUUCACGUUCUCCACCCUGUAGCACUUGAUUUCUACUUUCAAAAUUUACAUUAUGUUCCUUUCCCCUCUCAAAUGCAACAUUCAAACAUAUAAUGCACUUAGAACAGAGUUAGAAACAAGAAAUAAUCAACUGGGUUGCCUCCCAGGUAGUGCAUGUUUAACAUCACGAGCCUGACCCAACCUGUCUAGCACUCAUCAGUAAGUGCUUCCCAACACCCUUCAGUAGGUGUAAUUAACUGUAUCCUUUAGUAGAUACAUAAAACUUAGCAUCCCUCAGUAGAUGCUACCCAAAAAUUGUUUAAAUAUCCAAAAAUUACAUGUCCAAUAUAAUAAAAUAAAGAAUGUUCUAUAACAAUUGGAAUUCAUUCAGAUUACAUCAUGUCUUCUCAUUCCGGUUGGGAUCUUCAUCAACCCAACUCAUCAGCUGUUUCCUAUCCACUCUUCUGAUUGCUUUGGAGUAUAGUCUUCUAAUCUUCACUGUUCCUCCUUCUUCAAGCUUGUUCACAAUCUACUUCCUAUUUUUAAAUUUUACUUUUGAACCACGUAGGAGUGGCGUGUCCUCUGAGUGGGUUGUUCCUCCUUUAUCUACCUCUUCCUCUUCAGGUACCUGCAAAAUAUUACAACUGUCAGUAUUAGUACCUGUGCCUUCUUCCUCUGCAAAAUAUUCCUUAUUCUUAUUUUGUCAGAGCCAUUAUACAAUAACACAUGUUCUUGAUCUCUUAACAUCAUUUUUCCAUCCUGGAUACGCAUCACCAUUUUAGAAGUACUCAUAAAAGGUCUUCCCAAAAUUAGUGGAAUUCUUCCCUCAUUCUCCAUAUCCACAACUGUAAAGUCCACCAAGAACUCCAGCUGCUUAAUACGAACAAUUGCAUCUUCCACCCUACCAACUGGCUUUUUAACAGAACCAUCUGCAACUAUCAGAGAAACAUUACCUGGUUUCAAUACUAGUCCUUUAAUUUUCUUUAGAUAACUCAAAGGCAUCAAAUUAAUGCUAAAUCCAAAAUCUAUCAUUGCCCUUCCUAUAUUCACAUCAUUAAUGAUGCAUGGCACAGUCCAACACCUUAGAUCCUUCAUUUUUGGUGGAUGUUGUUUCUUUCUAGGUUGAAUAGUGAUGGGUGUCGCACCUCAUGCAAAUUUAAUGUGUAUAAAGAAUGCAGUAUAGUACUAGGAAGUGACUCCUAGGUCGUCUCUCAAGGACCAAAUGUGGUUCGAGAAUUAGGUCAAAUACGUAGUGGGGGAGUUGUUGAAAAGUUUGUGAAUGCGGAUAAACAAAAUCAAAACACGAAUGCAAACAACAAUGUAAACACAGAUGCAAACAGAAAGGUAAACAGAAAUGUAAAAACGGAAUGUGAAAACGGUUGGUCAUUAACUCAAUCACUAUGCUUCCAAUCAUAGAUUAACGACAAGUACACACUACUUUAAUCCAAAUCCAACACAAAUCACCCAACUAAGCAAAGGUCAAUCAUGCUAUCAUAAUUACGAACUAAGCGAACAUAAUACAUCUAUUCCAUCCAACGUGUUCUAUACAGAUUGAUCAACCAAGCGAAGAUGCAAUCACUAAUCGGGCAACUAAGCGUAUACCCAUUGCAAGAACACAGUCAGAUUUCAUAGAAUGCCAGGCAGAGCAGAGUAAACACAAGUACAGUCCAAGAAAUUUCAAGGAAACAAAGUAAUUUUAUUAAUGACCAACCCGCUUACUUAAGCUAACAUUACAACUAAAUCAAAGAAAAUUUACAUGACUCAUUUGAAUUGAAAUUACUAAAUCAAAAUUAAAUUCACAUGCAACUUGGAAUAAAAGGGCAACAUUAGCUAAUAAUUAAAAUGAGCAUUCGGCGGAAAUUAAGACAUAAGGCUUAACUAAAAUUGAAGUUAAUAAUGCAGCAACUUUCAGGCACAUUCAUCACGGAAUUCAACACUUAGUAAAGCAACAUAAAUGAAAAAUGUUUCACUUCUUUGCAAUUGAAAAAAAAAAUUCUUCUUCUCAGUAAAAGAAAAGAAAUGUUAUCCAACAAAAAGAAAAUCAAUGCCCUCACAUAGUGGCAGCUGUCUUCUACAAGAAAGGAAAUUAAAAUAAAACUCAUUGGACUUCACCAUUCAUGGCUCUUAAAACUUAAGAAAAACUUUAAGCUAUCUACUCUUCUCCUCCCGUGGCGGCUCUCCUCAAGAAGUGAAAUUGAUAUCUCCUUCUCCAGAUGUCUGUGCGGCUACAACAACUUGUCUUUUUAUUCCCUUAAGUGAAGCCCUCCUCGACCUGCUAUUGGGGUUGCUAUGGGCCGUCAACAUGUGCACAUGGGCUGCUACACCUCCAUUCUCUCCAAGCACACCUGCCUUUCUUUGGACCAUGACGUGUUGGAGCUCCUUCUCGUGCUAUUGUCACAGCUCUCAGUCCGUGAUGUGUUGCUGUCAGAGGAAUGGGCUGCUGGAAUGAAUGAAGGAAAACAUGUUGCUGCUAGAUGCGGAAAUGGAUGGAAGCUACUGGACGCUAAAGUGUUGAUGGGCUGUUAGAUGGAGAAUUGAAUAGGUUGUGUGAAGAUGUGGCAACUGCUGGAUGUCACCCCAAUGUAGGCCUGCUUUCUCCUAAGUUUGCUGGAGGAAUUCACGUGAUUGUUGGACUGCUGCCUGCCAUUUUUUCCAACGUGGAGUCCAGCCUUCCAUGGAGCACGCGUGCUGCUUUCCUUGGGUGGUAGCUAGAUGCUAUAAUUUAAGUCUGUUUGUGCUGCAGCUCUCCUAGCUAUUAGGUCGUGAAGAUUGGAUGCAAUAGCUUGUGUGAUGCCUGGACGUGAUCUAUUGUGUGCUGCAAUGCUGGUGGACCGUGAUGUGUGAGAGUGUUGGAUGCUGCUGGAUGAAUCAGGCAUCUUGGAUGUAGCCCGUGAUGUGUUGGAAGCUCCCUGCAGAUUAAAUUAUCCAUGGGCCCCACUGCACCAUUUAUCUCCAAGCACAAAAAUGAAAUGUUGAUUCCUAAAGCAAACCCAUCAGCGCAUCUGUCAACGUGUGCACACACCUGGGCCCACUUACUUUCUUUUUUUAUGAAGUUAGUGUGCCCUUUUCAAAUAAUGAAUCUAGCAGCACCAUGCUUUCUCUUCUCUAAAAGAAAGGAAAUUAAGUAAAUUCAUAAAACAAUCAGCGCACACUUCAACGCAAAAUGGGUCCCCGGAUCACCUUACUUUUAUCAUUUAAUCUCCAAAUGUUCCAAAUUAUAUUUCCAAAAUUUUUCCAGUAAUUAAUAAUGCAAAUAAUUAACUCAGAUAAUUCAAAAUAAUUAAAAUAAGAAUUUCUGGUCAAAUUAAGCACAAUUAGCAAAAACGAGAAAAUACCGGACAUUUAAGCACAAUUCCCUGAUUAAAUCCGGUACAAUAAACUAAGUGCAGUUAAUAAAAUAUUGACUCAUCAAAUAGCAAUUUCUUGUUCUUCUUCAUCAAGAUCUAUCACCUCUCCAAGAUAAUAUUUUAUUCUCUUAGAGUAAACAGGAAAUUGAGGAAAAGUUUCAUUUAAGGGAACAACAGUCACCUAGUUAAAGAUUUCUCUGAAUGGCUCAGGGUGACUUUCUCUUUCCUUACUUUCAAAAAAUUUUUCCAACCUGUCUUCUUCUUCCUCUCCCUCACUACUCUCGCUCUCCACAUUCUCUUUCAUCUCUUCAUCCUCCUCCUCACUACUUUCUAUCUCAAUAACUUCCUCUUCUGCUUUUCUUUUGCUCCUUGUCACAACAACUUUACACUCCUCUUUAGGAUUAACAUCAGUAUUAGCCCUAAAUUGAUUCUUUUCUGUGAUCUCUACCCUCUGUGACAGUUGACCAAUUUGCAUCUCCAAAGAUCUGAAACUGGCUUGGUUACUUGCCUGUUGAGAUGCAUAAACCUUCAAAAAUUUAUCAAAUCUCUCACUAAAGCCUCUAACAUUCUCUGUCAACUGACUCACCUGUUGCCACAAAGGUGAAGGUUGCUGCUGCCUGUUAUUAAAGAAGCCUCCUGAUUGCCCAUAUGGGUUACUCUGAGAUUGUCCAAUGCUAGGAUGGUUCUUCCAACCUAGCUAGAAUUGCCUUGGUUGAAGUUCCCCUGCCUAUACUGGAAUUAGUUACCCAUAUAUAUUGCUUCCUGCUGCAUAUUUUCUAGCACAACACAUUGACCAUUGAUAUGGUCACCACCACAGAAGUCACAAAGUUGUUGUGCAUUAGAUACAUUCUUAAUCUCUUUAAGAAGCUGAGAAAGGAUCUUUGUCAAAUUGUCUACCUUUUGAGUCAGAAGAUGAUUCUGAGCUAGCAUGGCAUCAUCUGCAGGCAAAUGCAAAACUCCCCUCUUCUGCACAGGUGUGCCCCUUUAACUGUAUGUCUCCUGCUCAUUAGCAGUCAUACUCUCAAUCAAGUCGUAGGCUUCAUCUUCAGUCUUCCUCUUGAUAUCACCUCCAGCUGAGACGUCCAACAUCAUUUUUGCCCUGUUUAAAUGAGGAUAUUUCUAACCUUCCCUGAGUGACUUUGGACUGCGGAAAAUAUUUGUUCACAAACUUUGCUGCCACAGUCUCCCACGUAGUAAAUGUUCCUUCUGGAAAGGAGUUCAACCACGUCUUAGCACUGCCUCCCAAUGAGAAAGGAAACAGGCUAAGCUUUACUCGUUCAUAUGAUACUCCAUUCAUCUUGACAGUAUUACAAAUUUCACUAAACGUUGUCAAGUGAUCAUAGGGGUUCUCAUUUGACAAACUAUGAAAUUGAUUACCCUGUACAAGAUGAAUCAACGCAGGAUUCAUCACCAUGUUGGUUGUAUUAUCAGUCGGCAUGGCUAUACUGGUGAAGUGGAAUGGGCCCACAACAUUAGAAGCAUCUCCAAGAGUGCAUCUGGGAGGUGUUUGCUCAUGUGCCAUCUCUUCAGAAUUUUCUGUACGAGCUUCUGGUGAGGGUUGCAACAAUCUUUCAGGAGAAGGAAACAAAUCCCUAGAUGGGUUUCUAACUCUCCUUCCUCUCUAAUCUGAAAUUCCUUCAAGAAGCGAUUGUUGGCUUUUCUUACUCCUAGUAUGUAUAGCUUCCUGCAUACACAAGAAACAAAUUCCCUAGAAGCACUUUUUAAAAAAUAAUAAAAAUAAAAACAAUAAAACAAAAACACAAUAUAUACAAACAAGUCAAAUUCAAUCAAUUUACAUUACUAGAAAAGUUAAACCACGAGCCCCCGACAACGGCGCCAAAAACUUGUUCAGUCCCUAGCAAGUGUACCAGAUCGUUAUCAAGUAAUAUAAAACGGGUAAGUCCGGGUAUCAUUUUCCCAAAGACCUCUUAGGCCUUAACUUUCAUGUAAAUUGAUAUUACGAGACUUGUAAAGAUAUAAAUCUUGUGGGUGAAUGCAAAAACGAAAAUAAACAUGCAAAUGCAAGUGAUUCAAUUGGCAAGAAAAGAUAUGAAUGAAUGGAGUUGUUGGGGUUUACAAUUUCAUCUUAUCCACUCUCUUUUAUCUACUCUUCUUAUUAAUUAGCUUUAUUAUCUAAUUGUCAUGCAAACUUUCUUAGUCUACCCCAAACUCGAAUCCUCGGCGAGAAAAGCCUACUACUAAUUAUUGACUUACUAUUCCUAGUCUCCCCUAGCAAUUAGCAAUGCAUGUAUCACGGAAGCAAAAUACAAUUGAUCGUCCUACCCCUAUCCCUAGGUGGUGUUGCUUAAUCAAGGAAUUCCCUAUCAGUUCAUGACUUCCCCGUACGUUCCCGUAUUGAUAAAGGCAAACUUCUUUAUAUCGAAUGAGUUAAACGAUAAAAGCUUUGAGCAUAGAUAAGAAACCCAACAAUUGAUAAUUUAAGCAUAUGCAAGCAUAUAAAUAUAAUAAGAAUUUCAAUAAAAGAGACUUUCAAAAGAUUACAUUGUUCCCCAACAACAAAAGGUUUAGUUCACCAUAGACAUGGUGAAACUAGAUGAAAUACAAUGAAAGAAUGGAAGAAUAAACCCUAAAUUUGAUAGAUUGGAGCCUAAGCAUCCAAGGAAUCUCCUCCAAGGUGUGUCAAACAGCUCUGGACGUCUUCUUCUGCCAAAAGAAUAUGAUUUGAAUCGCACUGGGGCUAUUUAUAGAGCACAAAAGUAACAGAAUUUAAGCCCAAGCCCAGCAGAUAACCGCUCAGCGUCACAUUUUACCGCUCAGCGGUUUCCCUUCAGUCGCGCCACCGCUCAACGGUCAGUCUCACCGCUCAGCGGUUUGCCUCCAACCGCUCUGGACGCUCGUGGUUUAACUUUUCUAGUAGUAUAAAUUGAUUGAAUUUGACUUAUUUGUAUAUAUUGUGUUUUUGUUUUAUUGUUUUAUUUUUAUUUUUAUAUAAAAAAGUGCUUCUAAGGUAUAUGUUUCUUGUGUAUACAGGAAGCUAUACAUACUAGGAGUAAGAAAAGCCAGCAACUGCUUCUUGCAGGAAUUUCAGACAGGAGGGGAAGGAGAGUUAGAUGCCCAUCUAGGGAUUUGUUUCCUUCUCCUGAAAGAUUGUUGCAACCCUCACCAGAAGCUCGUACAGAAAAUUCUGAAGAGAUGGCACAUGAGCAACCACCUCCCAGACGCACUCUUGGAUAUGCUUCCAAUGUGUUGGGCCCAUUCCACUUCACCAGUAUAGCCAUGCCCACUGAUAAUACAACCAACAUGGUGAUGAAACCUGCAUUGAUUCAUCUUGUACAGGGUAAUCAAUUUCACGGUUUGUCAAAUGAGAACCCCUAUGAUCAUUUGAGCACGUUUAGUGAAAUUUGUAAUACUGUCAAGAUGAAUGGAGUAUCAGAUGAACGAGUAAAGCUUAGCCUGUUUCCUUUCUCAUUGGGAGGCAGUGCUAAGACAUGGUUGAACUCCUUUCCAAAGGGAACAUUUACUACGUGGGAGACUGUGGCAGCAAAGUUUGUGAACAAAUAUUUUCCGCAGUCCAAAGUCACCCAAGGAAGGUUGGAAAUAUCCUCAUUUAAACAGGGCAUGGAUGAGACUCUUGGUCAAGCCUGAGAAAGAUUUAAAGGCUUAUUAAGGAAGACACCAGUCCAUGGUUUUGACAAGACUACUUUAGUUCUUGCAUACCUUGGAGGUUUGAACACUCAGACUAAAAUGAUGCUUGAUGCCGCAGUUGGAGGUGACAUUAAAAGGAAGAAUGAGGAUGAAGCUUAUGACUUGAUCGAGAGUAUGGCGGUAAAUGAACAGGAGACAUACAGUGAGAGGGGCGCACCUGUUCAGAAGAGGGGAAUUUUACAGUUGCCUGCAGAUGAUGCCAUGCUAGCUUAGAAUCAUCUUCUGACUCCAAAGCUAGAUAAUUUGACGAAGAUCCUUUCUCAGCUUCCUAAAGAGAUUAGGAAUGUCUCUAAUGCACAACAACUUUGUGAUUUCUGUGGUGGUGACUAUAUUAAUGGUCAAUGUGCUGUGCCAGAAAAUAUGCAGCAGGAGGCAAAUUAAAUGGGGAACCAGUUCCAGUGUAGGCAGGGGAACUUCAACCAAGGCAAUCCUAGCCAAGGUUGGAAAAACCAUCCUAGUAUUGGACAAUCUCAAAAUAACCCAUCUAGGCAAUCAGGAGGCUUCCUUAAUAAUAGGCCACAACAACCCUCACCCUUAUGGCAACAGGUAAAUCAUUUGACAGAGACUGUCAGAGACCUAAAUGAUAGAUUUGACAAAUUUUUGAAGGUUUAUGAGUCUCAACAUUUAGUUGACCAGUCCAGUUUCAGAUCUUUAGAGAUGCAAAUUGGUCAAUUGUCAAAAAGGGUGGAGACCACAGAAAAGAACCAAUUUAGGGCUAAUACUGAUGUUAACCCUAAAGAGGAGUGCAAAGUUGUUAUAACUAGGAGUAAAAGGAAAGCUGAAAAGGAAGUUAUUGAAAUUAAGAGUAGUAAAGAGGAAGAAGAAAAGAAGAUUAUUGAGCUGAGUAGUAGUGAGGGUGAUGAAGAAGAACAGGAAAUUUCUAUCCAACCAAAAAAGAAGAUGCAUCCGCUAAAAUUGAAGGAUCCAGGGUGUUUGACUUUGCCAUGCAUCAUUAAUGAUGUUGAUGUAGGAGGAGCUAUGAUAGAUUCUGGAUCGAGUAUUAAUAUGAUGCCUUUGCGUUUUUUGAAAAAAAUUGGAGGGCUAGUAUUAAAACCAUCUGAACUUUCUCUAACAGUGGCGAAUGGUUCAACUAAGAAACCAUAUGGUAUGGUGGAGGAUGCGAUUGUGCGUAUUGAGCAGAUGGAGUUCUUGAUUGAUUUUAUGGUUGUGGAUCUGGAGAAUGAUGAAAAGAUUCCAAUGAUUCUGGGAAGACCUUUUAUGGCAACUUCAAAAUUGCUUUUUAGUGUUUAUAUCGGGAGGAUCAUACUAAAAGAUCAAGAACAGGGGUUGUUGUAUGAUGGCUAUAAAGAGAAAAUGAGAGAAUAAGGAAGAGAGCCAGACACAAAAAGUCCAGAAAAGAUGUUGCAUCUAUAGAAAACACAAGUACUAGUUUUGAUAGUUGUAAUGUUUUGCAGGUGCUUGUAUGUGAAAAAGGACGAACGAUCCAUCAUGAAGAAAAAGAAGACUCAUUCCGACCAGGUAUAAAGGUGAAGUACAAAAAGAAGGAGUAGGUGAUAAAAGAGCUGAAAGAGAAAGGAGUGGUGGAGAUUGAACCACCAUACUUUAGACGUACUAAAAAGGUGGACAGAAGAAAACUGAGGAUUUGGUGUACUAGAGACACCAAUACAAAAGAGAAGACUUGAUUGUUGGAUGAAUAAAUUUUGUUGUAAAACAUUCUUUAUUUUAUUUAUUAUUUUGGACAUAUAAUUUUUGGAUAUUUAAAUAAUUUUUGAGUAGCAUCUACUGAAGGAUGCUAAUUUUUAUGUAUCUACUGAAGGAUACAGGUAAGCACACCUACUGAAGGGUACUGGGAAGCACUUACUGAUGAGUGCUAGACAGGUUUGGGUCAGGCUCGUGACGUUAAACAAGCGCUACCUGGGAGGCAACCUAGUUGAUUAUUUCUUGUUUUUAACUCUGUUCUAAGUGCAUUAGAUGGUUGAAUGUUGCAUUUGAGAGGGGAAAGGCAUGAAAUUAAAAAAUUGAAGGUUGAAAACAAGUGCUACAGGGUUGAUCUUUCACACUCACCGUUGAGCAGUGCAUUUUGCUGCUGAGCGGUGGCGGCGCAGACCACACUUGGGCUUUUAAAAUCUCAGCGUUUUUGGUGGUCCUGCACUUUUGAAACUCCUCUUUGAAGCUCGCUUAAGUGUUCUCUGUGAACCCUAGCAUCUAAUUUUCACUUUCAAAGGUUUUCCAAAGAGAUUUCCUAACUUUUUCUCAUCACUCAUUCACAAAAACCUUAUUUUAUACCAUUCUCUUGUCAAAAGUUUGGGGUUUUUGGUGAGAGCUUUGCAUCGGGAGGCAUUCAUCAUCAAUUGGAAGGAAAUCUUGCAAGCAUUUAGUAUCUCCACUCAAGUAAGUUGUGCAAUUUCAUUCCUAGGGUUUCUAAAUUUGAAAAUUAAUGAAGAACAUGUGUAGGAAUAUGAUAAAUUAGGGCUUUUGAUUUCUAUGCAUGAUUUGAUGAAAUAGAAACUGUUUGAACCAAUUGAAUUGCAUAAAUUUGGUCUGGAAUGAUGAAAUUAGUGAUAGAGUGGAGAUUAGGACACUUUGAAAAAAGAUUUUGAAAAACCCUUGUUGCCGCCGCUGAGCGGUCUGUUUUGACGCUGAGCGGUGGCAUGGCAAAAGGCAAACCGCUAAGCGGUCUCCUUGGACGCUGAGUGGUCUGCAAUAGUUUUCUGUUGAUGCUUGAUUUUCUGAUACAGGGACGCUGAGGGGCCUUGUUUUUCCCUCAGUGUUAGCCUGUACUUGGUUUGGAAUUUGAUUGAUGAUGUGCUAACCUCUAAUGAUGAAUUCAUGUGGUCUUUUUGAACUUUAUUUUAUGCAGGAAUGUCAUCAUCAUCUAGAAGGGUGAAAACUCCUGGCAACAAGAGGAAGGAGCCUGAGAGGCCAUAGAGAUUCUAUUCUCCUAGGUUCCUCUCUAAGCAUGAAGAACGCCAUGUGACGGUGCAAGAGAGAAGAUUACUGAUGGAAAGGAAGCCCACUUUUAUCCCAGACUUGGCUCCUGAGGUUGGAAUAGAGAUCAUGAGGAGAGAUUGGGAAAGGCUGGCCACAUAUCCUGCAUAAGCCAACAUUGAAUUGGUGAAGGAAUUCUAUACAAAUGCCUUGACCAGAGGAGGAGUAUCAGUUGGGAGAUACAUGAGUUAUGUUAGGGGACGGAUUAUCCAGUAUGACCCUAACACCAUCAACAGUUUCUUCGGCACUGAGCGGCCAGGUGAGUAGUGCUAGUAUGCAGCCCAUGUAGGGGGGUACAGGGACAUUGCAGAUAUUGAAAGGGUUAUGUGCCUUCCUAGAAGGCAUUUUCAGAACAACCCUAAUGGAGUGCCUGUCGACAUCAGAACAACCUGACGCCUUUGGCGAAAUAUUGGAUGGCAUUCACUCAUGCCAACAUUCAGUCAUGCUCCCAUGUUUUCGACAUCACCAUGCACAGGAUCAUCUUCAUCUACUGCAUGCUGAGGCAGUUGGAUGUGAAUGUCGGGAAGGUUAUUACUGAUGAGAUUCAAAGCUGCGCUAUUAUUGUGAGUAGUAGGACACCGUUGGGACAUCCAUCCCUGAUUACCUUCUUGUGUCAGCAGGCUGGGGUGGAUACUGCAGUUCAACCAUAUGAGAGGCCUCGGAAGGCCAUAGAUGCUUCUUACUAUCAGCAGUAUUGUUGUUAAAUCCCUGGCAAGUGUACCAGAUCGUUAUCAAGUAAUAUAAACGGGUAAGUCCGAGUAUCGUUUUCCCAAAGGACUCUUAGGCCUUAACUUUCAUGUAACNNNNNNNNNNNNNNNNNNNNNNNNNNNNNNNNNNNNNNNNNNNNNNNNNNNNNNNNNNNNNNNNNNNNNNNNNNNNNNNNNNNNNNNNNNNNNNNNNNNNNNNNNNNNNNNNNNNNNNNNNNNNNNNNNNNNNNNNNNNNNNNNNNNNNNNNNNNNNNNNNNNNNNNNNNNNNNNNNNNNNNNNNNNNNNNNNNNNNNNNNNNNNNNNNNNNNNNNNNNNNNNNNNNNNNNNNNNNNNNNNNNNNNNNNNNNNNNNNNNNNNNNNNNNNNNNNNNNNNNNNNNNNNNNNNNNNNNNNNNNNNNNNNNNNNNNNNNNNNNNNNNNNNNNNNNNNNNNNNNNNNNNNNNNNNNNNNNNNNNNNNNNNNNNNNNNNNNNNNNNNNNNNNNNNNNNNNNNNNNNNNNNNNNNNNNNNNNNNNNNNNNNNNNNNNNNNNNNNNNNNNNNNNNNNNNNNNNNNNNNNNNNNNNNNNNNNNNNNNNNNNNNNNNNNNNNNNNNNNNNNNNNNNNNNNNNNNNNNNNNNNNNNNNNNNCCCUAUCCCUAGGCGAUAUUGGCAUAAUCAAGGAAUUUCCCACCAGUUCAUGACAUUACCGUACGUCCCCAUAUUGAUAAAGACAAACAUCAUUUACUGAAUGAGUUAAACAAUAAAAGCAUUGAGCGCAGAUGAGAACCCAACAAUUGAUAAACAAGUAUAUGACAAGCAUAUGAAAUAAAUAAGAAUUUCAAUAUAUAUGAGAGUUUCAAAAGAUUACAUUAUUCCCCAACAACAAAGGGUUUAGUUCACCAUAAUCAUUGUGAAACUAGAUGAAAAUAAUGAAAGAAUGAAAGAGAUAACCCUAAACUUGGUUGAAUGGAGCCUAAGCAUCUAAGGAACCUCCACCAAGGUGUAUGGAAUAGCUUUGGACGUUCUCUCUGCCAAAAGAAUUCCUAUUUAAUUCGCACUGGGGCUAUAUAUAAGCCCAAAAAGAUAACAGAAAGAUCUACAUAAUCUAGCUAAAAAAACAAACAACCGCCCAAGCGCCUAAUUUGACCGCUCAGCGGUUUGCCUCUAGCCGCUCUGGCCGCUCAGCGGUCAGUUUUGCCGCUGAGCGGUUUCCCUCUAAUUACUCUGAGCGCUCAACAGACCAUUCUGGCCUUCAGCGGCUUGUUUGACCCUUCUUUUCAUCAUUUUUCUCCUUCUUUCAUGGGUCUAAGUCCACCUUACUUCACUUCCAUCUUUAUUUCAUCCAAAAACCCUGCAAAACAAUGCAAAUCAAGCAUAAUAUCUCUAAAACCAACUUUUGACUCUCAAGAGACUCAACUUAAGUGUUUUACUUGAUUUAAAGCUCAUUCUAAGCCAUAAAGGGUGUGUUUUACUAUCAAAUUUAAGUAUGAAAAUAAUGACUUUUAGACCGUUAUCAACUGUGCAGAGGAGGAGGCAGCUAGAGCAGCACCUAGGAGACGUCUUAGGAGAGCAGCAGUGUAGUAGGAGGAUACACCUGCAGAUGCACCAGCGCAACAUGCCGAGCCGUUUUAGAUGAGGGACAUGUAUAUGUCCAUGAUGGAAGCUAGGAUGGAGUCUCUCCGUAGAGGGCAGGUCGCGACUACCGAGAUGAUAGUGGGGCUGUAUGAGCAGCCACCAGUGCAUAGGUGGACUAUGGACGAGUUCCAUAGUGCUAUGGCUUGGCCUCAGGAGCAUGCACAUGGUAGAGGGUCUAGAGCAGUUGAAGCACCAGGCAGAGAUGAGGAUGACCAGGAGGAUGAUCUCUUUUAUUUUAAGUCUUAAUUAAUCUUGUUUUCACACAACUGUUCAGCGUUGAGAGUCCUCUGGGAUACGAUACUUGGUCUUACCAUUUUAAGUCUGUCGAUUUGCCCCAACAGGAGAUUGUGGCAUCUAAAUUCCUGAGUAAAUACUUUCCACAGUCAAAAAUUAGCCAAGGAAAGUUGGAGAUUUCUUCUUUCAUACAGGGUAUGGAGGAAACCCUAGGGCAAGCAUGGGAAAGAUUUAAUGGAUUGAUGAGAAAAACGCUAGUACAUGGGUUUGACAAAACAACUUUGGUCCUUGCAUUCCGUGGAGGCCUUAGUACAGUCUAAGAUGAUGUUAGACGCUUAAGCUGGAGGCAAUAUUAAAAGAAAGACUAAGGACGAAGCUUAUGAUUUGAUUGAAAGCAUGGCUGCAAAUGAGCAGGAGACUCAUAGUGAAAGGGGUGCAACAUCUCAAAGGAGGGGAGUUCUCCAUUUGCCCACUGAAGAUGCAUUGUUAGCUUAGAAUAAGCUCCCCACUCAACAAAUUGAUAAUUUGUCAAAGAUUCUUGCUCAACUUCCGAAGGAGAUAAGGAAUGUGUCUCAAGAACAACAACUCUAUGAUUUUUAUGGUGGUGACCAUAUUAAUGGUCAAUGUGUCGCACCUGAAGAGGCACAAGAAGAGCGCUCACUGGGAGGCACCCCAGUAAUUGUUGAACAUUAUUUUUAUUUUGGAUUAUUUGGACUUGUAAUUUUUGGAUUUGUAAACAAUUUUUGAGAUGUGAUAGUUUUAUCUCUUUACCACUCCAUACCUCUUCUGGUAUUUUGUGCUCCAAUGGAACCGACGGACCUCGGUUGAUUAAGUAAGUUGUUGUGUUGACUACUUCUGCCCAAAAUUUCUUUGGUAAGCCUGAUUGCAAACGUAAGCUUCUGGCUCUCUCUGUCAACGUUCUAUUCAUACGUUCUGCCACACCAUUGUGUUGAGGCGUACCUGGCACGGUCCUCUCCAUUCUGAUCCCGUGCUCAUAGCAAAACUUUUUAAUUUAGUGUCUUCAUAUUCACCACCAUUAUCUUAUCUAAGCUUUUUUAUCUUUAAUCCUGUCUCAUUUUCUACCAUGGCUUUCCAAAUUUUGAAAGCUUCAAAUACUUCUGACUUAUAUUUAAGAAAGUAUGUCCAUACCUUCCUAGAGUGGUCGUCAAUAAAGGUCACAAAGUAUCGCUUACCACCAAUGGAUGAGACGGUAGUUGGACCCCACACAUCAGAGUGAACAAGCUCAAGUCUCUCUUUCUUUGGGAUUCUUCCACUUCUUUGAAAGCUUACUCGUUUUUGCUUUCCAAGUAUACAGUCUUCACACAUGUCAAAUUCUAUUGACUGAAGACUUGGUAGUUUCCCCUUUGAGUGCAUGAUCCUCAUCCCUUUCUCACUCAUAUGACCUAACCUCUGGUGCCAUAGGUUAGGAUUUCCAUUCAUUGCAACUGCAAUCAAAUGACAAGCUCCUUCUGUCUUGUAGAGAGUACCACUCUUCCUACCACGAGCAAUUGUCAUUGCACCCUUUGAAAUCUUCCAAUUAUCACCAUGGAAGACUGUUGUGUAGCCAUCAUUGGCCAAUUGGCCUACUGAGAUUAAGUUCUUUGUUAGGUCGGGAAUAUGUCUAACAUUUUUUAAUUCCCAUACAGACCCAUUUAACUUAAUCUUCACCACACCUUUACCAGCAAUCUCACAAGACUGUUCAUUACCAAGGUAAACUUUUCCAAGGUUUCCAGGAACAUAAUUCUCGAAGAAUUCUUUCUGUGAGGUGGCAUGAAAGGAUGCUCCAGAGUCUAGCACCCAAGACUCUUCCUUGUUCUCUAANGAACAUAUCAAUGCAUCUUCUCCUCCUGAGGUUGAAGCAACAUUUGCUUCUACUUUAUCCUCGUGAUUCUUCCGUGCACUCUUGCACUGGUUUUUGUAGUGUCCCACCUUUCCACAAUUCCAACACUCAAUUGUCUUUGAGUUUUGGAAACUACGGUGAUUCUUAGAAUUAGACCUUCUUUCCUUGGAUCUUCCACGUCCAUAUCCUCUGUUCGAACUUCUUCCUCUUAACUCUGUAUGCAAAACUGAAGAGGUUGAAGAUUCUCCUGACUCUUUCCGUCGAAUCUCUUCACUAAGAAUCAGAUCACGAACAUCAUCAAACUUUAAUUUAUUACUGCCUGAUGAGCUACUCACAGCUGUGACUGUAGCAUUCCAACUUUCCGGUAGAGAAGACAAAAGUAUCAAAGCUCGUACUUCAUCAUCAAAUUCGAUUCCAACUGAACUCAAUUGAGUUGUGACUAUAUUGAGUUCAUUAAGAUGUUGCGCUACCAUUGCGCCAUCUGACAUCCGCAAAUUAAAUAACCGCCUCAUCAAAUGAACUUUGUUUGAGGCUGACGGCUUUUCAUACAUACUUGAAAGAGCUGUCAUAAGACCCACUGUGGGUCUUUUCUUUUGCAAUAUUAAAUGCAACAUUGCGGGAUAAUGUUAAUCGAAUAACUCCGAGAGCUUGUCGGUCGAGAAGAGUCCAAUCUUCAUCCUUCAUGUUUUCUGGUUGAUGCCCUGAGAGAGGUUGAUAUAGCUUUUUCUGAUACAAAUAAUCUUCAAUCUGCAUCUUCCAAAAGCCAAAGUCCGUACCAUCGAACUUCUCAAUUUUUAUCUUUCCUUCAUCUGCAGCCAUUUCUCCCACUUAAAUCUGACUCCCUUUGAACCGUUGAUUAUAAUAAUAGCAACCGGCUCUGAUACCAGUUGUUAUGAAAUUAUGCACAAUUCCUCUUAAUCAGAUUUGUGAGAAAAAUAUAAAUGCGGAAUAAUGACACUCAAAAUAAAACUCUUUAGAUUUCACUGCAAAUGUAUUAAUGAUAAAAAAUAAAAUUACAAUAUCACUUUUUCUCUCUUUCUUUAUUUCUACUCUGCGUUUCUCUUCUUCUUCUCUACGCAUUUUAUUAUCUAUUCUUUUUCUUAUAUAUAUAUUAACUUAUUUUCUAUUUAAUUUGUUGAUUUCCUUAAUCUUCUCCCCUUCAUAGAUUUUCAUUGGAUAAAAUCCCUUUUGACCAAUUCUAACAGUAAAAUGAUUUUCAUCCAAAUCAACAACACUAUUAAACAGAAAGUCCGCAAAAUCUUUUUUUCCUUCAGCAAACACUAUCUUUCCAUUAGAUUUUCUCUGCAUUAUCUUCACUAUGAUUUUACCACUGUCAUUUGCUUUAAAAUCAGAGGGAGCGAUUCUUUUCCUAAUAUCUCUCAGGGAAGUUUUUCUAAAAACAAAUAUGUCAAAAUUGUCCUUGAGCACAAACAACAUUUCAACAUAUCUACUACCUGUAAAAAGAAAAAUUCGAAGAAUAAUCAUCACAACCUUAAAUCAGCUGUUCAUAAUUAAACGAUAUGAUGAUUAAUGCCUUAUUUGCACUGCAUAGAAAACUCUGUUUUACAGAACAUAAAUGUAAUGUACUAAGCAGCUUCAAGGAAUGGAAGGAACAUGUAUACCACAUCGGCACAAAUAAAAUCAAGCUCUUUACUAAAAUUUUCUUUGCGCUUCUACAACUCCCAACAGUCUAGUUGUUAAUUGCUACUGUUUUAUUAUGUCAUCUAUGUUUAGUUCAGUAGAUUGACAGUGGCAAUAAUAGUUUAGAUGGGUGAUAAUAUAUUAUUAGAAUAUUUAAGAAUAAAAGAUCCAACUAUAUAUAUAUAUAUAUAUAUAUAUAUAUAUAUAUAUAUAUAUAUAUAUAUAUAUAUAUAUAUAUAUAUAUAUAUAUAUAUAUUAGAAUAAUUCACCAUAAACAUAAAAACAUAUUUUUGAAUAACUUAUCUCGAUUCCCAAGCAAAAGUGUUCAUCAAAGUAAAAAAAGAAUUUGAAACCUGCAGGGAACGCUCUAUCUAGUACAGAUCACAUUAUACCAUGUUUCAAUUUUGGUUCAUUACAUCCAAUAUCUAAUGCAUGCAUGAUAAUAUAGCUCAAGAAAGGUGAAAUUGGGAAAAGGAAACUUCGUAAAGAUGCCAACACUGCAUUCCAUGGCAACCUUGGCAAGCAACAAAUCAUCCGCUAGCAACCUCUCCUUAAACCAUCCGAAAUUCAAUAACCAUCGGAACACCGCCGAUUUUUCCAGCUCGAAGAACCUCUUCAAAAUCGACCCUGGCUAAAUUUGCCGACAAUUUCUCCAACGACCGCCCAGCCUUCGCGAGAACAAGGAGCACCUCCUCUCCGUUUCGAUCCCUGUCUUUCGAUUCCCCGUCAUCUCCUCCUCCUCCACCUCCUCCAUGCCCUCCUGCGGUCCCUCUGAUGCAAUAAUGAAGGUUGCGGGAGAUCGAACAUAUGUGAAUAAAGGAUCGUAGGCAUAAGAGUUGUCUCCACUGUGUGUUGUCACCGCCUUUACCGUCAUGCGUUGUCGCCAUAGACUCCACUGUGUGUUGCCAUUGUUGUGGAGCUCUUCAUAGCAAACGUUUGUCCAGAAGAAAAUGGGAUGUCGAGGGUGAACAGAGAAAACUGGGGUUUUGAGGGCUAACCCGACCCUAAUAUAAUCCCACCCCAUUUUCUGGGGCUGUGGGGCUAGGGGCUUUUGAAAAGCCCCCUCAAAUGUAGGUCAAACAAAAUGAGGCUCUGAUGGCAUACUGCCUCAUGUAUUUCUUUUACUUUUAGUGUACAUGUAAUCUACUUCUCCUGGAGCACGGGUUAUUAUAAAUACAUGUCUCCACCAUUAUAAACACAACUUUUGAGUAAAUGAAUUGUAGUUUAUUGAGAAAAGCUCCAGAACAAUUCUCUCUGAAAGUUCAUGCUAGAGAGUCUGAAUGAACCGCCUCUAGCCACCUUCUGGCCACACUUCUUUCAUUUCCAUUUUCCAAUUUCACGUGCUUCCACAUUUUCUCUCUCCUCCACUAUGCAUUCUCAUCAGCCGCCACGUCUUCAGCAUUUUGCUCUAUCAGCGCAUACAUCUCGCACAUACGCGACUUUCUCUCAUUUGCCUUGCGUCCUCCUCGCGUCUUCCUUUGCUGUUGAGAGAGCUCUCCAUCCGCCAUCACGGUUAGUCACAAAAUCACAUCUCUCUCGCAUUUCUUCCUUGCUUCAGUUUCUUCCAUCAUAGAAAUUAUUCUUCUACCAUUUCUUCGAACUUCCACCGAUCAAAACCCUUUUUUCACCCUUUCCGUCCAUUUCACCGAUUGAAAACUAGUUUCCACCGACUAAAUACCUUUAAUCGCCUAGAUCUUCACUUUCGACCGAUUAUCCAAGCCUUUGAACCAUUUAAUCGGUUCGUUUUACAUUUUCCUCUUUUUCUAGGGUUUCCUUCGAGUCAGCCUUAGAUUUAGAGUCUAUUCUUCUUUUCCGUUGUGUCAUAUUCUAUCAUGGAAGCCUCGAGGGUCCCGAUCUGCUUCGAGUGUUCCUCCCUGCACCUCACCUCCUUCUUCCUGCACCUCCAAAUUUACUCAUUUGUCCUUUAUUUAAUAAAUUCAAAAUAUAAUUAAUGAUUAUUUAAUUAUAUUCCAACCUCCGUGCACCCCCCACACUCUCUUCGCGGUUCCUAUCAGCAUUCACUUUUAUAGCAUUUCUUUGGCAUUUAGUUUUACUGUUUGAUAUACAUUGCUAUUUCUGUUUCUGAUCCAUGGUGUGGUGGUGCUUGCUGGUCGUGGUAAUACUUGGUGGUGGUGAUCUCGAUAUUGGAGGAGAGGAAGAAGAAGAAGAGACAGUUUGUGAAAGUUGCAAACUGCAUUUCGCUUCAGCCGUGGUGAGAAGCGCGUUUCGCUUCAGUCGCAAUGCGAACUGCAGAAAACGAAGAUGCACCCAAAAUAAACCAACCGCAAAUCCACCUGCGGUUGCAAUCAACUGCCUAAUCGAGCUGCGGAGGCACCAGAUCCGCACUUCCUUGUGCGGCAAGUGUUAACUGCAGUUCAUGCACCCUCUGUAGGGACAAGGGUUGAAUCCGCAUCUCCAUCAACACCCUAUUCUCCUCCUCUAACCCCAUCGUCUUUCUCCGGCACCCCACCCUCAUAAAUUGUUCCAGAAAAAUCUAACAACAUUCCUUCAA